AGCUCCAAUAGCGUAUCUUAAAGUUGCUGCAGUUAAAAAGCUCGUAGUUGGAUCUCGGGAUCGAGCUGACGGUCCGCCGCGAGGCGAGCUACCGUCUGUCCCAGCCCCUGCCUCUCGGCGCCCCCUCGAUGCUCUUAGCUGAGUGUCCCGCGGGGUCCGGUGGGUUUUCUUCUCUGAACUGGGGCCAUGAUUAAGAGGGACGGCCGGGGGCAUUCGUAUUGUGCCGCUAGAGGUGAAAUUCUUGGACCGGCGCAAGACGGACGAAAGCGAAAGCAUUUGCCAAGAAUGUUUUCA
rnacentral:rRNA from 1 species